rnacentral:lncRNA from 1 species
GUGUAAUCACCACACGCAGUCACCCCUGCUCCCUCCCUCCUCUCUCACUCUCCCUCCCGCCCAGCCAAGCUAGGUCCUGCCCCCAAAGACCUGCCUGGGACUUCUCUGGCGCUGGGCCGGUGGGAUCAUUUUGUUCCCCUCCUGACCCCCCGCUGCCUCUGGAAGGCCCCACCUUCCACCGGGUAUAAACUCAGCAGCUGCUAUGGUUUGAGACCCCCGAGCUGAGAUCCGUGGGCUGGAAGGGCUUUGCUCCGGAUUCUCAGCCUCCAGGGUGGGUAGCCACGGACUAAAGCCGAUGUUGUACAAGGUGGAGGGUGGACAGAGACCUGGGUGUGCAGGGGGCCUUGCAGUCAGCUCUCUGACUGGGUCCCUCUUCUGCAGACUCCCUCCGGCUCCUCAGCCCUUCCAGAAGCUUAGGAGGACAACAGGAGGGUCGUUGGGCAGUUCCUGAAAGGGCCCUGGGGCCUGCCUCUGACUGGGAAGUCUGGCUGCAGCUCCUUCGAGGAGUUGUCCAGUGGGGAAGGAAGGUCGCUCGGUCACCAGCUGGUUUCUCCUGCCACAGUUGUCGUGGAUGCGGCUUCUGUAUCCAGCAUCCUCCCUUGGAUCAAUAUCCAUUCACACCAUUCAGCAAAUACAAGGUGCCAGCACAGUGCUUGGCACUGGAGAGACGUGGCAUGUGGAACAGACAUGGAAUUUACAACAUGUACCUUUUCAAACAUUUUCUGGUGUAUAUGCAAUGAGUGGGCGUAGAGACUAAAAAAUGCACACAUAAGCACAUACGAACUAAAUUUCUCUUAUCCUCUUUUUUUUUUUUUUUUUUUAAAUACCUA